UCUCCUCAAGAAGCGUCGCGAAGGGAUGAUGCUCCAGCAGCCUCUCGGAGCUGGCCUCGACGGUCCCUAGAAUGAUGCCGCUGUUGAGAAACGAUAUGAUUCCACACAAACGAAGCGUGGAGCUGCUGCACUUGCACGUUUGAAGGUUUUUGAAGGUGUUCCUACUCCAUAUGACAAGGUCAAGAGGAUGGUCAUCCAUGAUGCUCUCAAGGUCUGAGGCUUCAAGCUGGUCACAAGUAUUGUCUUUUGGACCGUCUUUCUUCUGAAGUUGGGUGGAACCAUUAUGACACCAUCAAGUUUACUAAAAUGCAGUCCAAAUCAAAGAUGAUCUUGUUGACAAGUACAGUCUGCAAGAGGACCAACAUCAACCUCAGCAAGAUGACUAUGUGGAUGAAGUUGAAAAUAACGACUUGGAAGCACAUAUCUUGCUGUGUUCACUUAUAUUUGUGUUAUUGGAAUCUCUCAAUAUAGACUAUAGACUCUCUUUUGAAAAGAUAAAAAUCUUGUUAUGAAUCGGUUUCAUUUGUACAUCACUUUGGUGUUGCCUUGGUUAAGAACAUG